UGCAAACGGGACUGAGGCAUUUCUUCGUUUCAUUUGAAGGAAGUAAUCUAGCACACAGUUAACCAUAAAGUGUAAAUGCAGGUGCAAUGAGACGCCGUAACGCUUUCUGAAAUUAUCAUAAUGCGCAAAUUCCCAGUUUUGUCUUACAGUAGGGUGCCGAGCCUAAACUCAAAGAAGUUAUUUAGAUAUACACUCAAAAAAUACAAAUGGGACCAGCGACUGCGACGCAGAUGAUAUGCAACAUCAAUUUCACCCGUCGUUUCUCCAUUUUACACAAGAUCAGCAUCCAAAGGCCUGCUUCAGAAGCUUGAAGUUCUUUAUCAUUCUGCCAUCCGGUUCAUAACAAAUACUCCUUUCAAAACCCAUCAUUGUACCCUGUAUUCUUCUUUCAACUGGUCUUCAUUGUACACCCGCCGUAAAAUCCAUUGGCUUAUGAUUAUUUACAAAACUCUCCUUGGUUUUUCCCCUCCUUACUUACAGGAAUUGUUACACUUUUCUACUUCUGUGUAUAAUACUCGAUCUGCUAAUCUGAUUUUGUUGACAGUCCCUAAGGCUACUUCUGUACUUGGCCUGUUGUCUUUUCAGAACGCUGCUGCUAGAGACUGGAAUGACCUGCAGAAAAUGUUAAAACUGGAUAAUUUCAUCCCUAAAUCAGCUUUCCAAUCUCGGAUUUCAGCUCAUUAUAAAGACAUGUGUCGCUGUUAUUUAGACUAGCUGCUCCAACUCACUGCUGCUCUUUUCAUUGCUGCUCUAACGUUCUUAUUGUUUAUAUAUUAGUUUAUGACAUUUUUCGUAAACAUGCAACUUAUUCACUGUUUCUUGCUUCAUUUCUUUAUUUAUUUAUUAUUAUUAUUUUUUUUUUUUCUAUUUUCUUUUUCGUAAUUUUGUUUAUAUUGUAUAUAUGUAUCUUCCAGGCCACAGCUGUAAAUAAGAAACAUGUUCUUAAUCUGUCUUGCCUGGUUAAAUAAAGGUAAAUGAAAAAAAUGAAAAAAAAGUUUUCUGUCGCCUUUCCGGCAGUUCUUCGGUCUCUUUGCCUUGAUUUGAACGAUCUGAACCUAUACAGAAGAAACUUACAGUAGAUUCGGGGUUUUCUUGCUGCUGUUGUUAUUCGUACCAGUGAAUAUUAAAAAAUGCCCUAAAUGUUAUUACUUUUAAGUCCUUGCUAAAACAAUUUUAUGUUCUUUUAAUUUUAUUUUUUUGUCUAUUUUUACUUUGUGUUUUAUUUCUUAUUUCAUUUUAUGUAAAGCACUUUGAGUUGACCUUUGUGUAUGAAAAUGUGCUGUACAAAUAGACUUAAUUUGACUGACUUGACAUCUAUAUUCUUUUUCCCUGAGUGUUAGUCCUAGCCCUUGUUUAUUUUUAAUGGCUUAGCCACCUUUGUUAUGACUCCUUGUCAUCCUUUUGGUUAAAAAUAAAGUUCCCCAUUCCUCA